GACGAACGCUGGCGGCGUGCCUAACACAUGCAAGUCGAACGGAACUGUUUUGAAAGAUUUCUUCGGAAUGAAUUUGAUUUAGUUUAGUGGCGGACGGGUGAGUAACGCGUGAGUAACCUGCCUUCAAGAGGGGGAUAACAUUCUGAAAAGAAUGCUAAUACCGCAUGACAUAUCGGAACCACAUGGUUCUGAUAUCAAAGAUUUUAUCGCUUGAAGAUGGACUCGCGUCCGAUUAGUUAGUUGGUGAGGUAACGGCUCACCAAGACCGCGAUCGGUAGCCGGACUGAGAGGUUGAACGGCCACAUUGGGACUGAGACACGGCCCAGACUCCUACGGGAGGCAGCAGUGGGGGAUAUUGCGCAAUGGGGGCAACCCUGACGCAGCAACGCCGCGUGAAGGAUGAAGGUUUUCGGAUUGUAAACUUCUUUUAUUAAGGACGAAAAAUGACGGUAC
rnacentral:rRNA from 1 species